UUCCACAGUUACUGGUCUGCAGCUGUUCAGUAUUGUAGCAGUUGCAGUAUUCCACCUGUGGGAAAUUAGCAGUUACACUGUAUGAUGCUCCUCUCAAAUAGAGGGGAGAUAAUUCGAGUGUACCAGACAAGA